GCAAUAAGUAUGACUAUAGCUCAGUUGGUAGAGCAUCAGACUCUUAAUCUCAAGGUUAUGGGUUUGACCCCCAUCUUGUGCA